UACGUGAGGGGGCGAGCGUUGUCCGGAUUUAUUGGGCGUAAAGAGCGUGUAGGCGGCCAGGUAGGUCUGCUGUGAAAACUCGAGGCUCAACCUCGAGACCGCCGGUGGAAACCAUUCAGACUAGAGUCCGGAAGAGGAGAGUGGGAAUUCCUGGUUGUAGCGGUGGAAAUGACGCAGAGUAUCAGGAAGAACACCCGUGGCUAAGGCGGCUCUCUAGUACGGUACUGACGCUGAGACGCGAAAGCGUAGGGGAGCGGAACAGG
rnacentral:rRNA from 1 species